rnacentral:snoRNA from 1 species
AUCCUUUCGUAGCUCAUAAGCAGAUGGUUGUUUUCACGCUCAUGGGUGGAUGUGCCUCCCUCAAAACUUAUCAAGAUGUCGGCACACUACCUGUGUGAUG